rnacentral:rRNA from 1 species
AGUGAACGCUGGCGGUAGGCCUAACACAUGCAAGUCGAACGGCAGCACAGUAAGAGCUUGCUCUUACGGGUGGCGCGUGGCGGACGGGUGAGGAAUACAUCGGAAUCUACUUUUUCGUGGGGGAUAACGAAGGGAAACUUACGCUAAUACCGCAUACUACCUACGGUUGAAAGCAGGGGAUCUUCGGACCUUGCGCGAUUGAAUGAGCCGAUGUCGGAUUUGCUAGUUGGCGGGGUAAAGGCCCACCACGGCGACGAUCCGUAGCUGAUCUGAGAGGAUGAUAAGCCACACUGGAACUGAGACACGGUCCAGACUCCUACGGGAGGCAGCAGUGGGGAAUAUUGGACAAUGGGCGCAAGCCUGAUCCAGCCAUACCGCGUGGGUGAAGAAGGCCUUCGGGUUGUAAAGCCCUUUUGUUGGGAAAGAAAAGCAGCAGGUUAAUACCCCGCUGUUCUGACGGUACCCAAAGAAUAAGCACCGGCUAACUUCGUG